GUAUCUUUGGCCAUAU
rnacentral:rRNA from 1 species